GGUGUUGGAAUGGCUCAAUCAAAUGAAAGCUCUCAAAGAUUGGGUCCUUUAAUCUGAUUGAGCCGUGCCAAUAUCAC
rnacentral:pre_miRNA from 1 species